rnacentral:rRNA from 1 species
AGUGAACGCUGGCGGUAGGCCUAACACAUGCAAGUCGAACGGCAGCACAGUAAGAGCUUGCUCUUACGGGUGGCGAGUGGCGGACGGGUGAGGAAUACAUCGGAAUCUACUUUUUCGUGGGGGAUAACGUAGGGAAACUUACGCUAAUACCGCAUACGACCUACGGGUGAAAGCGUGGGAUCUUCGGACCUUGCGCGAUUGAAUGAGCCGAUGUCGGAUUAGCUAGUUGGCGGGGUAAAGGCCCACCAAGGCGACGAUCCGUAGCUGGUCUGAGAGGAUGAUCAGCCACACUGGAACUGAGACACGGUCCAGACUCCUACGGGAGGCAGCAGUGGGGAAUAUUGGACAAUGGGCGCAAGCCUGAUCCAGCCAUACCGCGUGGGUGAAGAAGGCCUUCGGGUUGUAAAGCCCUUUUGUUGGGAAAGAAAAGCAGCAGGUUAAUACCCCGCUGUUCUGACGGUACCCAAAGAAUAAGCACCGGCUAACUUCGUG